GAAAUGGCAAACCUAACGAAAGUUAGGGACGCAAAGCUCCAGGUCUAAGGUGAAAACUAUGAUGGCUGAGUUUCCA
rnacentral:ncRNA from 1 species